rnacentral:rRNA from 1 species
AGCGAACGCUGGCGGCAGGCUUAACACAUGCAAGUCGAGCGGGCAUCCUUGUGGUGUCAGCGGCAGACGGGUGAGUAACGCGUGGGAACGUGCCCUUCGGUUCGGAAUAACUCAGGGAAACUUGAGCUAAUACCGGAUACGUGCGAGAGCAGAAAGGUUUAUCUGCCGAAGGAUCGGCCCGCGUCUGAUUAGCUAGUUGGUGAGGUUACGGCUCACCAAGGCGACGAUCAGUAGCUGGUCUGAGAGGAUGAUCAGCCACACUGGGACUGAGACACGACCCAGACUCCUACGGGAGGCAGCAGUGGGGAAUAUUGGACAAUGGGGGCAACCCUGAUCCAGCCAUGCCGCGUGAGUGAUGACGGCCUUAGGGUUGUAAAGCUCUUUUCUCCGGGACGAUAAUGACGGUACCGGAGGAAUAAGCCCCGGCUAACUUCGUG